CCUACGGGAGGCAGCAGUGAGGAAUAUUGGGCAAUGGAGGCAACUCUGACCCAGCCAUGCCGCGUGAGUGAAGAAGGUUCUCGGAUUGUAAAGCUCUUUCGGAUGUGACGAUGAUGACGGUAGCAUCUAAAGAAGCCCCGGCUAACUUCGUGCCAGCAGCGGCGGUAAUACGACGGGGGCAAGCGUUGUUCGGAAUUACUGGGCGUAAAGGGAGUGUAGGCGGUUUAGUAAGAUAGUGGUGAAAUCCCAGGGCUUAACUUUGGAAUUGCCAUUAUAACUAUUAGACUAGAAUUACAGAGAGGAUAGUGGAAUACCCAGUGUAGAGGUGAAAUUCGUAGAUAUUGGGUAGAACACCAGUGGCGAAGGCGGAUGACUGGACGGCAACUGACGGUGAGGCGCGAAAGCGUGGGGAGCAAACAGGAUUAGAUACCCGAGUAGUC
rnacentral:rRNA from 1 species